CCGUAAACUUUGCUCACUCGCUGUUGGCGAUAGACAGUCAGCGGCCAAGGGAAACCGAUAAGUGAGCCACCUGGGGAGUACGGCCGCAAGGUUGAAACUCAAAGGAAUUGACGGGGGCCCGCACAAGCGGUGGAACAUGUGGUUUAAUUCGAUGAUACGCGAGGAACCUUACCUGGGCUUAAAUGUGAAGUGCAUUGAUUGGAAACAAUCAUUUCCUUCGGGACCCUUUACAAGGUGCUGCAUGGUUGUCGUCAGCUCGUGCCGUGAGGUGUCGGGUUAUGUCCCAUAACGAGCGCAACCCCUAUUGUUAGUUACCAGCGCGUGAUGGCGGGGACUCUAGCGAAACUGCCGGUGUAAACCGCGAGGAAGGUGGGGAUGACGUCAAAUCAGCACGGCCCUUAUGUCCAGGGCUACACACGUGUUACAAUGGCCGGUACAGCGGGCAGCUAGGCAGCGAUGUCAUGCUAAUCCCGAAAGCCGGUCCCAGUUCGGAUUGGAGUCUGCAACCCGACUCCAUGAAGGUGGAAUCGCUAGUAAUCGCGCAUCAGCCAUGGCGCGGUGAAUACGUUCCCGGGCAUUGUACACACCGCCCGUCAAGCCAUGGAAGUCUGGGGUGCAUGAAG
rnacentral:rRNA from 1 species